rnacentral:rRNA from 1 species
UACAGAGGGCCCGAGCGUUGUUCGGAUUCACUGGGCGUAAAGGGUGCGUAGGUGGCCUGAAAAGUUUGAUGUGAAAGCUCAGGGCUUAACCCUGAAAUGGCAUUGAAUACUGUCGGGCUGGAGGUUUGGAGGGGGGACUGGAAUUCUUGGUGUAGCAGUGAAAUGCGUAGAUAUCAAGAGGAACACCAGUGGCGAAGGCGAGUCCCUGGACAACACCUGACACUGAGGCACGAAAGCUAGGGGAGCAAACAGG